rnacentral:rRNA from 1 species
AGAGUUUGAUCCUGGCUCAGAUUGAACGCUGGCGGAAUGCUUUACACAUGCAAGUCGAACGGCAGCACGGGGGCAACCCUGGUGGCGAGUGGCGAACGGGUGAGUAACACAUCGGAACGUGCCCAGUCGUGGGGGAUAACGUAGCGAAAGCUACGCUAAUACCGCAUACGAUCUACGGAUGAAAGCGGGGGAUCGCAAGACCUCGCGCGAUUGGAGCGGCCGAUGGCAGAUUAGGUAGUUGGUGGGGUAAAGGCUCACCAAGCCGACGAUCUGUAGCUGGUCUGAGAGGACGACCAGCCACACUGGGACUGAGACACGGCCCAGACUCCUACGGGAGGCAGCAGUGGGGAAUUUUGGACAAUGGGCGCAAGCCUGAUCCAGCCAUUCCGCGUGCAGGAUGAAGGCCUUCGGGUUGUAAACUGCUUUUGUACGGAACGAAACGGCUCUCUCUAAUACAGGGGGCUAAUGACGGUACCGUAAGAAUAAG